rnacentral:rRNA from 1 species
CCUACGGGAGGCAGCAGUGAGGAAUAUUGGUCAAUGGCCGCAGGGCUGAACCAGCCAAGUCGCGUGAGGGAAGAAGGUCCUAUGGAUUGUAAACCUCUUUUGUCAGGGAGCAAAGGUAGCCACGUGUGGCUUUUUGCGAGUACCUGAAGAAUAAGCAUCGGCUAACUCCGUGCCAGCAGCCGCGGUAAUACGGAGGAUGCGAGCGUUGUCCGGAUUUACUGGGUGUAAAGGGCGUGUAGCCGGGAAGGCAAGUCAGCUGUGAAAGCCGGAGGCUCAACCUCCGAAGUGCAUUUGAAACUGUUGUUCUUGAGUACGGGAGAGGUAGACGGAAUU